UGACAUCGCGCUAUUGCGCCAUUUUGCGACUACUUGGUGGUCUUUUUUGGAUCGCCAUCAGUUUAUCAGGCGGCCUGCGGUGCACUUACAGCUCAAACUGUGAAGCCAUAUUGUUGUAAAGUUGAUGACAAAUGAGGUCAUGGCCUGUUUCAGUAUGAAGUGGGGGAAGGGGAAGCUUGCUUUCACCAAGAUCAAUCUGUACACUGUUGUCACAGAGAGUGUCCAGAAAACAUCAAAAGGGACGGGGCAAAUAUUGCAGCGGCCACCGCCUUUUGUUUAAAAUAUGCCCCAGCAGAGCCGUCGCAAGGAGGGUGAGAGGCCCUGUGCAAAGUUGAUGUGCGAGGCCCUCUACAAUUUUGUGUGUGUGUGUGUGUGGUGGGGGAGGUUGCUGUAGUAAGGCAAAGCAAGUUUAUUUAUAUAGCAGAUUUCGUACACAAUGGUAAGUCAAAGUGCUUUACAUAAAAUUAAGUAAAAUAAUCAUGAAGAACAAAACUAAAACAAGCAAUUUUAAAACUUUGGAAAUUAUUUAAAAAUUGACUUGAAUUUAAAACAGUUAGAAAUAGAAAAUGAUAGAAAUAGAAAAUACAGUGAAUACAUAAAAUACAGUGCAAUCAGGUCGAACAUCACACAGUGCUCAUUCAAUAAAUGCACAGCUAAACAGAUGAGUUUUGAGUCU